CAGUAGCGUAUAUUUAAGUUGUUGCAGUUAAAAAGCUCGUAGUUGGAUUUCGGGUGGGACGCAGCGGUCUCGCAUUGCGUUUGUACUGCUGCAGCCCUCCUUCUUGCCGGGGGCGGCCUCUCGGACUUCACUGUCUGGGGGUCAGAAUCGGCGAUGUUACUUUGAGUAAAUUAGAGUGUUCAAAGCAAGCUUGCGCUCUGAAUAUAAUAGCAUGGGAUAACACGACAGGACUCUGGCCUAUCGUGUUGGUCUAUAGGACCAGAGUAAUGAUUAAGAGGGACAGUCGGGGGCAUUCGUAUUCCGUUGUCAGAGGUGAAAUUCUUGGAUUUACGGAAGACGAACAUCUGCGAAAGCAUUUGCCAAGGAUGUUUUCAUUGA
rnacentral:rRNA from 1 species